rnacentral:rRNA from 1 species
UAGCGAAAUUCCUUGUCGGGUAAGUUCCGACCUGCACGAAUGGCGUAACGAUGGCCACACUGUCUCCUCCUGAGACUCAGCGAAGUUGACAUGGUUGUGAUGAUGCAAUCUACCCGCGGCUAGACGGAAAGACCCCGUGCACCUUUACUGCAGCUUUGCAUUGGACUGUGAUGGAAUUUGUGUAGGAUAGCUGGGAGGCUUUGAAGAGCAGACGCUAGUUUGUUUGGAGCCAACCUUGAAAUACCAGCCUGAUUGUAUUGCGGUUCUAACCUAGGUCCCUUAUCGGGAUCGGGGACCAUGCAUGGUAGGCAGUUUGACUGGGGCGGUCUCCUCCCAAAGAGUAACGGAGGAGUUCGAAGGUUCGCUAGGUACGGUCGGACAUCGUACUGAUAGUGCAUUGGCAUAAGCGAGCUUGACUGCGAGACUGACGGGUCGAGCAGGUGCGAAAGCAGGACAAAGUGAUCCGGUGGUUCUGAAUGGAAGGGCCAUCGCUCAACGGAUAAAAGGUACGCCGGGGAUAACAGGCUGAUCUCCCCCAAGAGUUCAUAUCGACGGGGAGGUUUGGCACCUCGAUGUCGGCUCAUCACAUCCUGGGGCUGUAGCCGGUCCCAAGGGUAUGGCUGUUCGCCAUUUAAAGUGGUACGCGAGCUGGGUUUAGAACGUCGUGAGACAGUUUGGUCCCUAUCUACCGUGGGCGCUGGAAGUUUGAGAGGACCUGCUCCUAGUACGAGAGGACCGGAGUGGACGUAGCUCUGGUGUACCGGUUGUGACGCCAGUCGCAUUGCCGGGUAGCUAACUACGGAAGAGAUAAGCGCUGAAAGCAUCUAAGCGCGAAACUCGCCUCAAGAUGAGACUUCCCGGAGGUUUAACCUCCCUAAAGGGUCGUUGCAGACUACAACGUUGAUAGGUCGGGUGUGCAAGCGUAGUAAUGCGUUCAGCUAACCGAUACUAAUUGCCCGUGCGGCUUGAUCCUAUAGCCUU